UACAGAGGUGGCAAGCGUUGUUCGGAAUUACUGGGCGUAAAGGGCGCGUAGGCGGUUCGGUAAGUCCCGUGUGAAAUCCCUCGGCUCAACUGAGGAACUGCACGGGAGACUGCCGGGCUUGAGUUCGGGAGAGGGAAGCGGAAUUCCGGGUGUAGCGGUGAAAUGCGUAGAUAUGCGGAGGAACACCGAUGGCGAAGGCAGCCCCCUGGGAUAACACUGACGCUCAUGCACGAAAGCGUGGGGAGCAAACAGG
rnacentral:rRNA from 1 species